CAAGUACCUUCUUUCAUUCUAUGCCACACUACACCGACGCUCUGCACGGCAACUCUUGCGCAGCCUCGCACCAUUUUCUCUACAACGGAGACGAGAAAGAGGCAUCAUAAUAAUUCCAUGACCGCCGCCAUGGACCCCGACGCACCGUCGGUGCUCACGAGCGAGGUGUACAACGCUGCCGAGGUAAUCUUCAAUAUGUUGCAGAACAAGGAGAAGCUUGUGUCUUUCCUCGACUGCACAACUCUUCUUCGUGGCAUGGGGAUGAACCCGACUCACGAAGACAUGGACAAGCUGAAGGAACUCAUGGCACAGCCCAUCCUCCGACUAGAACAGUGGCGCCGAGAGGAGGAGCUGAAGCGCGAAAAAGAGCGGCGCAAAGAGGAAGCGCGCGAGCGGAAGGGCAAGGCUCGCGCGAGCGUCGCCCUUGGGAGGAAGUCGAUCGUGAAGAAGGUCACUGACCCAGCAGCUGAGGCAGCACCCGUGGACAUCACACCUGCUGAGGAGAUUAAGAACAUCGACUGGAACAUCUUUAUCAGGUGCACGGAGAUGAUUUUUCGAGAUCGUAUGCGCGAGGAGCGCGCGGUGCUAGAGGCACUGAAAGUUUUCGCCGGAGACUCGUCCGCAAUCAUGUCGCGCGACAGGCUCAUCGAAAUUGUCACCACCAACGGCGACAAUGUGUUCACCCCGACAGAGGUAAAGAUGUUAGUUGCGAUGCUUCCGGAGAGCUGCCCGGUAAAGGAGUGGGCAAGGCGCAUUGAGGGUACAUACGUGGCUCCCACGCAGGAGGAGAUCGACGCCGCUGCCAUGCGCGAAAUCGAAGCACGCCGCCAACAGGGAGCAGCAGAGAAGCAGGAGACGGAGAAGGAUCCGUUGGAGGGAUUGUGAGGCAAGCAGAUCUUUUUGUUUACCUUUCCAUUGCUUGCCUGGUAGAACCCGGCUAGCACUACGCCUAACUCCUGGCAUCGGUGACAUCACCACCUCCUGAACCUCCCAACACUUCCCCGCGCUUCUCCCCCCGCUGCCAUGAGAUCCGUGGCAAAGGAAAGUCAACGAAAAGGAGAGAGCCCUCGGAUGUACAGUUUUCCUUCACACCAUGUCCUUGCAAUCUCGACUGUAGAUACCCUUCUGUGCUACAGCAUGCUGUGACAUACAUGCGCUCGAGUGAGCCCCUGCGCGCGUGGGUCGCCGACACCGCUGCUCAACACUCACCCACUCUCUCUCCAUGAGUGUUACUCCCACCCGUUCCCAUCGCUCAUGAUGACCGUGCAUUCAUUAUAUCGACUCUCGUGUCACUCUGUUGUGGCCACGCGCGCUGCACUCCACUCUCUGCUAUCCCCUUUACCUGCUCGCUAUUUGCUCACCUUCAUCACUUCUCACCACCCGCGCGGGAACACACAUCCACAUGCUCAUUCACGCAUACACGAGACCUCCUGCAACGCGUUCACUAUCAAG
rnacentral:misc_RNA from 1 species